rnacentral:rRNA from 1 species
AACGAACGCUGGCGGCAUGCCUAACACAUGCAAGUCAAACGAGACCUUCGGGUCUAGUGGCGCACGGGUGCGUAACGCGUGGGAACCUGCCCUUAGGUUCGGAAUACCUCCCCGAAAGGGGUGCUAAUACCGGAUAAUGUCUUCGGACCAAAGAUUUAUCGCCUUUGGAUGGGCCCGCGUUGGAUUAGCUAGUUGGUAGGGUAAAAGCCUACCAAGGCGACGAUCCAUAGCUGGUCUGAGAGGAUGAUCAGCCACACUGGGACUGAGACACGGCCCAGACUCCUACGGGAAGCAGCAGUGGGGAAUAUUGGACAACGGGCGAAAGCCUGAUCCAGCAAUGCCGCGUGAGUGAUGAAGGCCUUAGGGUUGUAAAGCUCUUUUACCCGGGAUGAUAAUGACAGUACCGGGAGAAUAAGCUCCGGCUAACUCCGUG